ensembl:lncRNA
GUUACGUCACUGCUCACGUGUAAAAUGGGAACCGUGCUGUACACACUGAGAGCUUGUUUUGAAAACUGGAGAGAAAUCACGUCAAGUCCAAGGCUCCAAGGAGGCCCUCGGGAAGAGCAAGCGGCAGCUAUUUUUUAUCAGCUUUCUGACACACCUCCGCAGCACAUCAGACACCCAAGACAAGCAGAGACUGGGCCUCAGGAGUCGGAGAAGGUGACUGACUCGGUGAAGGUGAGGAACCCGAGCCCCUUCAGAGAGGAGUGCAAGUCGUGGGUGCCGAAGAAGCCGGUGGGCUGCGCGGCGCCCUGGGCUCGUCUCCGCAGCCUUUGCCCCGGGAGAAGAGGGCAGAAAGCAGCAUUAAGACCCCGGCUCACACAGCCCAAACGCCGGGAGAGUCUUACGCUUAUCAGGGAAGGAUGUGUGUUAAAGUACAUUUGGAAACGCUGAGGCCACACCCCAUCGCCUCCCUCCUCAGUUCACUUUUUCUCUUUCCUAAGUCAGAAGUGGGCCAGCUGGUUUCCUGGAAGGAGUAAGGAGGCAAAUUCCCCCGUAAGCGGAGCUGUCAUCAGAGCCAGCCCCAGGCUGAAGCUGUAAGCUGUGAUCCUGGUGGCUGAAGAAUUCAGAGACAUGAGCCAGAGGGAGUGCCCACCCCAGCAGAGCCCUCAGGAUGGAGACCCAGAGUUUUCCGAGGGCAGACAGGAUUCUUAGCGGGGCUGUGCUCGGUCCCCAGGCACUUCUGAGAAAGCCCAGACC